rnacentral:rRNA from 1 species
ACGGGUGAGUAACACGUGAGUAACCUGCCCUUAACUCUGGGAUAAGCCUGGGAAACUGGGUCUAAUGCCGGAUAUGACUCCUCAUCGCCAUGGUGGGGGGUGGAAAGCUUUAUUGUGGUUUUGGAUGGACUCGCGGCCUAUCAGCUUGUUGGUGAGGUAAUGGCUCACCAAGGCGACGACGGGUAGCCGGCCUGAGAGGGUGACCGGCCACACUGGGACUGAGACACGGCCCAGACUCCUACGGGAGGCAGCAGUGGGGAAUAUUGCACAAUGGGCGAAAGCCUGAUGCAGMGACGCCGCGUGAGGGAUGACGGCCUUCGGGUUGUAAACCUCUUUCAGUAGGGAAGAAGCGAAAGUGACGG